UAAAUCCUCUUAGCAAAGCAUUAUCAUGACAGUAUGCAAUUUUUGCACCCAAUUUUAAAGAAUUAAAAAAUCUGUCAGUUAAAUUUCAAAUUUGAUAACAUUUUGUAAAUAACGUGACUGGUUGUCUUAUUUUUUUCCCCUAAAAAAAUAGGAAGAACAAUAUCAUCCAGAUUCUGUCACUGAUUUCAUCAUAUAAACAGAGGUGCGUUGGUGCUGUAACUGGUUCAGUGUGAGGAAUUAUUUACACUUUCAGAAUCGAGAAUUCAUAAAGGAGAUGUCACCUAGUGUAUAUGUAUUCAGACUUCACACCUUUAAGGAUGCACUUGUCUGGGAUCAAAAACAGUGUCCAUUGUUACACAGGGUGACACUAGAAGUCAGAAGCCCAGCUCUUAAUAGCUAUACCACUCCAACAUGUGGGAUGCAGAUGAAGAUUUCCAGGAGCCUGUACCUAAUAAUCCUGGGUCAAGAGAAGGUACAGAAGUCAUAGAAGUUGAACCAGUCAUUCGUGAUCCAGGGAUCGAAUGAUGUCCAGAAUAAUGACAGACAGCCGGUCAACAUCGUUGAAUCUUGUAGAAACACGUCGUAUAUUGGUUUGUAAUGCUGACAGAAUGUUGACGUGUGCCUCUAAUGUCUCAAUACUA